AGAGUUUGAUCCUGGCUCAGAACGAACGCUGGCGGCGUGCCUAACACAUGCAAGUCGAACGUGAAAGUCCUUCGGGAUGAGUAAAGUGGCGCACGGGUGAGUAAUGCGUAGAUAAUCUGCCUGGUGAUCUGGGAUAACAUCUCGAAAGGGGUGCUAAUACCGGAUAAGCCCACGGAGUCUUCGGACUUUGCGGGAAAAGGGGGGGACCUUCGGGCCUUCUGUCACCAGAUGAGUCUACGUACCAUUAGCUAGUUGGUGGGGUAAGAGCCCACCAAGGCUACGAUGGUUAGCUGGUCUGAGAGGAUGAUCAGCCACACUGGAACUGAGACACGGUCCAGACUCCUACGGGAGGCAGCAGUGGGGAAUUUUGCGCAAUGGGGGAAACCCUGACGCAGCAACGCCGCGUGAGUGAUGAAGGCCCUCGGG
rnacentral:rRNA from 1 species